rnacentral:rRNA from 1 species
UACGGGGGGGGCAAGCGUUGUUCGGAAUUACUGGGCGUAAAGAGCUCGUAGGUGGUUUGUCGCGUUGUCCGUGAAAACUCGCAACUCAAUUGUGGGCGUGCGGGCGAUACGGGCAGACUGGAGUACUGCAGGGGAGACUGGAAUUCCUGGUGUAGCGGUGGAAUGCGCAGAUAUCAGGAGGAACACCGGUGGCGAAGGCGGGUCUCUGGGCAGUAACUGACGCUGAGGAGCGAAAGCGUGGGGAGCGAACAGG